rnacentral:rRNA from 1 species
GUAUCGACGAAGCGCCCUGUCGGGUGGUGACGGUAGAUACAGAAGAAGGACCGGCCAACUACGUGCCAGCAGCCGCGGUAAUACGUAGGGUCCGGGCGUUGUCCGGAAUUAUUGGGCGUAAAGGGCUCGUAGGCGGUUUGUCGCGUCGGGAGUGAAAUCUUACAGCUUAACUGUGAACUUGCUUCCGAUACGGGCAGACUUGAGGCAUUCAGGGGAGAACGGAAUUCCUGGUGUAGCGGUGAAAUGCGCAGAUAUCAGGAGGAACACCGGUGGCGAAGGCGGUUCUCUGGGAAUGUACUGACGCUGAGGAGCGAAAGUGUGGGGAGCGAACAGGAUUAGAUACCCUGGUAGUCCACACCGUAAACGUUGGGCGCUAGGUGUGGGGCCUAUUCCAUGGGUUCCGUGCCGCAGCUAACGCAUUAAGCGCCCCGCCUGGGGAGUACGGCCGCAAGGCUAAAACUCAAAGGAAUUGACGGGGGCCCGCACAAGCGGCGGAGCAUGCGGAUUAAUUCGAUGCAACGCGAAGAACCUUACCUGGGUUUGACAUAUGCCGGAAAGCUCUAGAGAUAGAGCCCCUUUUGUCGGUAUACAGGUGGUGCAUGGCUGUCGUCAGCUCGUGU